rnacentral:tRNA from 1 species
GCGACGUUGGUGCAGUCCGGUUCAGCACGUCGCCCUUUCAAGGCGAAGACCAGCGGUUCAAAUCCGCUACGUCGCA